rnacentral:tRNA from 1 species
UGCGAUGGGGCCUGUGCUGGUACGGGCAGACGGUUGUUAACCGUUCAGACGCAGGUUCGAUUCCUGCCACCGCAG